UAAAGUUUGACUCUGGCUAGUCAUUUUCUUUAUGAUAAUAGUGCAUGUAAAUUUAUGUGAGACAAUUUAAUAAAAAGUUUAAAAAGUUGUUUAUUCGGGUAAGAUGGUGUUUUAAGUCUUUAAUUCUCAGCACAUAGUAUUAAUUAAUUAACAUAAGUUAGAAUUAGGAAAUCAUUAUAAAACCUGGCUAAAAUUGUGCCAGCCGCCGCGGUUAUACUGUGAGGUUAAGUGAAUGAAGUUUGGUUAAAAAAGGUUAUUGUGAUUACUGUAACAGGAAAAGCAAGUUAUUAGGUAUAAGUGAAACAAAUAACUAAAAGAUUGUUUUUAUAGUGGUUAGUGUAUAAGAAGCCUAGAAAUUUAAGUUAUAAACCAGGAUUAGAUACCCUGUUAUUCUUAAACUAAAAUAAAAUAACCGGGGUAAUAUAUAGUUAUUGUCUUGAAACCCAAAGAGUUUGGCGGUACUUUAGUCUAGUUAGAGGAGCUUGUUCAGUAAUUGAUAAUCCUCAAAAAAUCUUACGUAUUUUGUAAUCAGUUUAUAUACCGUCGUUAUUAGAUAAUAUUAAAAGGUGUUUAAUUAUCUAAAUAUAUUUUGUUUAUAGUAUAUCAGAUCAAGGUGUAGCUAAUAAAUACGAGUCGAAUGAGCUACAUUUUAAUUUAUAAAAACGGAAAUUGAUUUUAAACCAGUCAAUAAAAGGUGGAUUUAAUAGUAAUUACGGUUUUUAGUAGGCCGUAUUGAUAAAAGCUCUGAAGUAUGUACACAUCGCCCGUCGCUCUCAUUACAAAGUGAGAUAAGUCGUAACAUAGUAGGGGUACUGGAAAGUGUCUCUAGAAUG
rnacentral:ncRNA from 1 species